UUCCGGUUGAUCCCGCCGGACCUGACUGCUAUCGGAUUGAUACUAAGCCAUGUGAGUCAUUGUAGCAAUACAAGGCAGACGGCUCAGUAACACGUAGCCAACCUACCCUAUGGACGGGGAUAACCUCGGGAAACUGAGGAUAAACCCCGAUAGAUCAUAAUGCCUGGAACGGUUUAUGGUCCAAAUGAUUCGUCGCCGUAGGAUGGGAUGCGGCCUAUCAGCUUGUUGGUGAGGUAAUGGCCCACCAAGGCUAUUACAGGUACGGGCUCUGAGAGGAGAAGCCCGGAGAUGGGUACUGAGACACGGACCCAGGCCCUAUGGGGCGCAGCAGGCGAGAAAACUUUGCAAUGUGCGCAAGCACGACAAGGUUAAUCCGAGUGUUUCCUGCUAAAGGAAUCUUUUGCUAGUCCUAAAAACACUAGCGAAUAAGGGGUGGGCAAGUUCUGGUGUCAGCCGCCGCGGUAAACCAGCACCUCAAGUGGUCAGGAGGAUUAUUGGGCCUAAAGCAUCCGUAGCCUGCUCUGUAAGUUUCCGGUUAAAUCCAUUAGCUCAACUGAUGGGCCGCCGGAAAAACUGCAGAGCUAGGGAGUGGGAGAGGUAGACGGUACUCGGUAGGAAGGGGUAAAAUCCUUUGAUCUAUUGAUGACCACCUGUGGCGAAGGCGGUCUACCAGAACACGUUCGACGGUGAGGGAUGAAAGCUGGGGGAGCAAACCGGAUUAGAUCCCGGGUAGUCCCAGCUGUAAACGAUGCAGACUCGGUGAUGCCCUGGCUUGUGGCCAGUGCAGUGCCGCAGGGAAGCCGUUAAGUUUGCCGCCUGGGAAGUACGUACGCAAGUAUGAAACUUAAAGGAAUUGGCGGGGGAGCACCACAAGGGGUGAAGCCUGCGGUUCAAUUGGAGUCAACGCCGGA
rnacentral:rRNA from 1 species